rnacentral:rRNA from 1 species
GAUGAACGCUGGCGGCGUGCCUAAUACAUGCAAGUCGAGCGAACAGACGAGGAGCUUGCUCCUCUGAUGUUAGCGGCGGACGGGUGAGUAACACGUGGAUAACCUACCUAUAAGACUGGGAUAACUUCGGGAAACCGGAGCUAAUACCGGAUAACAUGUUGAACCGCAUGGUUCAACAGUGAAAGACGGUCUUGCUGUCACUUAUAGAUGGAUCCGCGCCGCAUUAGCUAGUUGGUAAGGUAACGGCUUACCAAGGCAACGAUGCGUAGCCGACCUGAGAGGGUGAUCGGCAACACUGGAACUGAGACGCGGUCCAGACUCCUACGGGAGGCAGCAGUAGGGAAUCUUCCGCAAAGGGCGAAAGCCUGACGGAGCAACGCCGCGUGAGUGAAGAAGGUCUUAGGAUCGUAAGACUCGGUUAAUAGGGACGAACAAAUGUGUAAGUAAAUAUACACGUCUGGACGGUACCUAAGCAGACAGCCACGGCUAAAUACGUG